UAAACAGUUGGCCUAUAUGCAUGUAUAAACUCCUGUUGAUCUACUAUGUAGAUAAUCCAUACACACAUAAUCUAUAUUAUCCAAGUGAAGUGUUUAUUAAAGUGUCUAUUUCUAGAUACAACUGAAUUUGGCUGUACACUACACAUGCACAACACGAAAUAAUAAAUGUCUUUGUUGUUUCUGAUAUUCUGAUUCUGUCUCAACAGAAAAUGAUUUCGAUCUACGUGAUCACAGUAGCUUUGGCAGUGACUGCUGUGGGACAAAGGUCUUCAGAAUGCAAUCUAACUGAACCUGGACCCCAGACGUGUUUUGGAGUUUUAGGAGAACCACUCGUUUUUUACAUACCUACUAAACCACAUGUGAAGACAAGCUUGAAAAAGAGUACAGAAAAAUUUUUAACCUUAAUAAGUGAUACAUUAAUUAGUCUCAAUGAAAAAUACAAGAAUCGUACUAUAUUUUUCCCAAAUGGUACAUUGAAGCUCGAAAAAGCAACAAAACAUGACUCUGGAGAGUACAGCAUGGAAACACACAGUUCUACUGACGGUGUGUUAUUGCACACAGUUAACAUCCAUCUACAUAUACUAGCUCCUGUGUCAGAACCAGCUGUAUCUCAGGUGUGUUUGUCACGCAAACAGAUGACAGUCAGCUGCUCCUCUGAAGGAGAUGAAGUAGAGUUCACCUUGUUUUUGGAUGAUAACUUGUUGAUACAGCCUACAGCCAACAGUACAGAAAACAACAGCGUUUCAAAUGUUACCAUCAACUUACCUGGUCAGCUGAUGGGAAACCUGACAUGUGUUGCUCAAAACAUUGUCAGCAGAGAACAAACAAUCAUCCACCUUACAAGCUGUGCAGCUCUUGUGUCAAAACCUGCUGUAUCUCAGGUCUGUUUGUCACCAGAACAAAAGACAGUCAGUUUUUCCUCUGAAGGAGAUGAAGUAGAGUUCAUCUUGCUUUUAGAUGAUAACCUGUUGAUAAAAACCCAACCCAAGAUUGCAGAAAACCACAGCAUUUCAAAUGUUACCAUCAGCGUACAUGGUGAACUGAUGGGAAAGCUGAUGUGUAUCGUUCAAAACAAUAUAAGCAGAGAACAAACCGUCAUCCACCUUAUAAGCUGUACAGGUACAAAUUCUCCAGUUUCUGUGGUGAUUGUGGUUGUACUAACAAGUGUUGCCGCUCUACUUCUCACUUUACUUUUUACUGUUAAUAAAGAUGUUGCUGUAAAUAACAUUUUUUACUCCAAAAUUGUAUAUGAAGAAAACAUCACUCACACAAAGGCCACAGCCAGAUGAGGGAGUCAGUCUGAGGGCUUUCUUAUUUGGAGGAAACAGUGCGAACCACCACGCCACCAUGCUGCGUCUGCCCAUACAUUAUUACUUAUUUACAAGUCUGCACAUUUAUAAUUUUUAUUCUUUUAAUAAUGUUUUACAAUUUUGCUUGGUAGUGUAUGUUUUGAUGUGUAUGAUAAAAUAUAGUUCAUAUGAGAUAUCCUUGGAUAUUAAAACAAGGCUCUGGUCAGCAGUGUUGGUGCUUUGCUUACAUUGUGUUUUGUUUAGGAAAUGUGAGCCGUGCCUCAAGCAUCACAGCUACUCUUCACAAUGUGACCUUAGAAACCACAAACUAUAUCCUGUUUUCACUGAGCUGCUAAACCACCACUGCUGUAGCUGCACAGAGUACAGGGAAAGAACAGUGCUCGAAAAGCUCCCGGCCCAGACGGUGUGUCUCCUGCCACCCUCAGACACUGUGCAAACGAGCUGGCCCCAGUGUUUUCUGGCAUUUUCAACUCCUCACUGCAGGCAUGUCAUGUGCCUGCCUGCUUCAAGUCCUCUACCAUAAUCCCUGUCCCCAAGAAACCUAGGAUCACUGGACUAAAUGACUACAGACCCGUGGCUCUGACAUCUGUGGUCAUGAAGUCUUUUGAGCGCCUGGUUCUCUCCUAUCUCAAGACCCUCACGGCCCCCCUCCUGGACCCCCUGCGGUUUGCAUACAGAGCCAACAGGUCUGUAGAUGACGCCAUCAACAUGGCCCUACACUUCAUCCUGCAGCAUCUGGACCCUUCUCACCCUGGACACAGUCUGUUUGACCUGCUCCCCUCAGGCAGGAGGCUCCGGUCCAUUCGCACCAGAACCGCUCGCCAUAAGAACAGUUUCUUCCCCUCUGCUGUUGGACACACGAACAAUAACCGUAUGACUGUUCCCACCACUAACACAUGACCCUACGCUGUGUUCACUGCAUCAUUCCAUGUUUGGCACUGAUCACCACCUGCACUCAUGUAUAUAUCAUGUAUAUAUCUAUCUAUCUACUUAGCACUUUUAAUUCUUAUUCUCAUUUUUAUUUUCAUGUCUAUUUAAGCUUAAUUUAUAACAGUAUGUUUGCACUGAAGCACCGCAGCAAUUUCCUAAUGUUGUAAACCCGCUCAACAUUUGGCAAUAAAACCCUUUCUGAUUCUGAUUCUGAGACAAGACGAAGCUUGAUUUGCAUUUAAUGCAGUGAUCAGCACUGACCACAUGAUGGGGCCAAAAGCAUUUCUAUUAACUAACAGUGUGAAGGUUUCAUAUUAGAUACAAACAGUAAUGAUAAACUAACAGUGUG
ensembl:lncRNA